rnacentral:lncRNA from 1 species
GCUUCAUGUAUACAUUGCUGAAAAACUAUGAUUAAGAAUUUGAGCUCUAUAAAUAUAUAUACCUCAAUGGUAAUCUAUAUAUUUUUCUCUCCUACAUUCUUAAAGACUUCCAUUAGAAUAUAUAGAGUGAAUGAUCUUAAAGCUAGAAAUAUUUCAGCUCACUCAAACGAUUCUAAAAGAAAGAAAAUGUAAAUGCUUUUGAAAGAAACUGAGCUUCAAAUGAAUCAUUUUCUGAUUAAUAUUUCUAUACGUUUUCUCUAAGAUUAAGAGAAAGCAUAACUUGUUCUUGAAGGAUUAGAAAGAGUAAUUGCUACAAAUUUUGAAUAAUACUAAAUUACUCUACAUUCUCGAUAUCAUAGAAAAGAAUGAUUAAAGAAGAAUGCAUCUUUUGAGGGGGAGCCUUAGAUAUUCAGUAUCUCAUACCUUGAUUUUUAUGGAUUGAUUUUGAUGAACCUCCUUAUAGUGCAAGACUUGCUUUAAUUAUAUAAUAAGUUUAUACCUUGUGAUGAGUUCUAUAAAGGUUGUCUUAUCUCAAACAUUGAGUCUUAUGAAAAUAAGCUGAAACUUAUAGAAAAUAUAUUUUUUUUGAGAUUGACAAUUU